GCCUUCGUAGUGCAGUGGUCAGCACGCUGGGGGCGUAUUCCAGAGGUCCGUGGUUCGAUUCCCAGCGAAGGCG
rfam:Stegodyphus mimosarum contig111725, whole genome shotgun sequence.